AUUUCUUCUAAAACAAAAGAAAUCAAUCUGCUCACAAAAAUGUGUGGAUAACAUUGUAGAAGAUUCCACUGAACUUGUCCAAGGAACAGUCAAAGCAAUUAAACACGGUUUGCAAAAUUGCUUAGAGAAAGCUGGAUUAAAUUAUAAUGAUGUGCCAGGUCUUGAUGAAUUAUUUGAUGAAGGACAUGCUAUCUCAAAUCCAUUCAAACAUAUUUCCACAAAGUAUAAACAGAAUGCUUAUUUUGAGGAGCAUUUUGGCUUAGUUCAACCCAGACGAAUUAAACUUGGACACAGAGUUGUGAAAAGACGUUCAAGGACUGUGUACAAAGAGGUUAUUAAAGAUGACAAAAUCAUGUACAUACCACUGCUUAAAUCCUUGGAAAAAAUGCUCAAUGUAAAAGGAGUACUUGAACAGCUAAACCAUGGUAUCUUCGGCAACAUAAACAUGAUGAUGUGAUUGAGGAUGUUUGGAUGGCCAGUAUUUCAAAACCCAUCCUCUGUUUUCCAAGGACUCAACUGCUUUACAAAUCAUGCUUUACUAUGAUGAGUUCGAAAUUGCAAAUGCCCUUGAUAGUAAAACUGGAAAGCAUAAGUUAGGAGUUGUUUACUACACAACUGGAAAUAUUGAUCCUCGAUAUCGAUCCCAGUGUGAUAACAUUCACCUACUCCUUAUGGCAACAGUUCCAAUUAUCAAAAAAUAUGGCAUUGGCAUUCUCUUGGAGCCUUUCAUGAAUGACCCUUGAAUACCACUGAAUAAAUAAAGCAGAAG